AUUGAACGCUGGCGGCAGGCCUAACACAUGCAAGUCGAACGGAGUGGCGAACGGGUGAGUAAUGUAUCGGAACGUGCCCAGUAGCGGGGGAUAACUACGCGAAAGCGUAGCUAAUACCGCAUACUCUUGGAGCGGCCGAUAUCGGAGUAGCUAGUGGGGGGGGUAACGGCUCACCCAGGCGACGAUCCCUAGCUGGUUUGAGAGGACGACCAGCCACACGGGGACUGAGACACGGCCCAGACUCCUAAGGGAGGCAGCAGUGGGGAAUUUUGGACAAUGGGGGAAACCCUGAUCCAGCCAUCCCGCGUGUGCGAUGAAGGCCUUCGGGUUGUAAAGCACUUUUGGCAGGAAAGCGGUACCUGCAGAAUAAGCACCGGCUAACUACGUGCCAGCAGCCGCGGUAAUUC
rnacentral:rRNA from 1 species